rnacentral:rRNA from 1 species
GAUGAACGCUGGCGGCGUGCCUAAUACAUGCAAGUCGAGCGAACAGACGAGGAGCUUGCUCCUCUGACGUUAGCGGCGGACGGGUGAGUAACACGUGGAUAACCUACCUAUAAGACUGGGAUAACUUCGGGAAACCGGAGCUAAUACCGGAUCAUAUAUUGAACCGCAUGGUUCAAUAGUGAAAGACGGUUUUGCUGUCACUUAUAGAUGGAUCCGCGCCGCAUUAGCUAGUUGGUAAGGUAACGGCUUACCAAGGCAACGAUGCGUAGCCGACCUGAGAGGGUGAUCGGCCACACGGGAACUGAGACACGGUCCAGGCUCCUACGGGAGGCAGCAGUAGGGAAUCUUCCGCAAUGGGCGAAAGCUUGACGGAGCAACGCCGCGUGAGUGAUGAAGGUCUACGGAUCGUAAAACUCUGUUAUUAGGGAAGAACAAAUGGGUAAGUAACUAUGCACGUCUUGACGGUACCUAAUCAGAAAGCCACGGCUAACUACGUG